CAUCUCCUCCUUUGUGUUCACCCAUUUGAAAUCAUCUCCAUUCAGGAGAAAACAAGAUGGAACCCAGUGACUGGCCACCAUGGACACAUGCAAGGGAGAAGGAGAAGUCCCCAGUAGGAAAAGGAAUGUGUACAAUGAAAUGUAAUGAUGUAUAAUACAUUGGCUGUUUUUGAAUUCCAACCAUGGAUUUCCCAGCUACUGGCAGUGAAACUGAUCUUUUCUGUGACACGCCUGUCCCCCUUUGUCUUCUGCCAUGAGUGGAAACUUCCUGAGGCCUCACCAGAAGCUGAGCAGAUGCUGGUACCAAACUUGUACAGCCUGUAGAACCACAAGGCAAAUAAAUCUCUUUUUGAAAAU
rnacentral:lncRNA from 1 species